rnacentral:rRNA from 1 species
AACGAACGCUGGCGGCAGGCUUAACACAUGCAAGUCGAACGCAUCCUUCGGGGUGAGUGGCAGACGGGUGAGUAACGCGUGGGAACGUGCCCUUCAGUUCGGGAUAACCCAGGGAAACUUGGGCUAAUACCGGAUACGUGCGAGAGCAGAAAGAUUUACUCGCUGAAGGAUCGGCCCGCGUCUGAUUAGCUAGUUGGUGGGGUAAUGGCCCACCAAGGCGACGAUCAGUAGCUGGUCUGAGAGGAUGAUCAGCCACAUUGGGGCUGAGACACGGCCCAAACUCCUACGGUGGGCAGCAGUGGGGAAUAUUGGACAAUGGGCGCAAGCUUGAUCAAGCCAUGCCGCGUGAGUGAUGAAGGCCUUAGGGUUGUAAAGCUCUUUCGUCCGGGACGAUAAUGACGGUACCGGAAGAAGAAGCCCCGGCUAACUUCGUGCCAGCAGCCGCCGUAAGAC